rnacentral:rRNA from 1 species
GAAGCGGCAACAGCUCAAAUUUGAAAUCUGGCGCGAGCCCGAGUUGUAAUUUGUAGAGGAUGCUUCGGGGCAGCGGCCGGUCUAAGUCUCUUGGAACGGGGCGUCAUAGAGGGUGAGAACCCCGUAUGCGACCGGUUGGCACCCGUCACGUAGCUCCUUCGACGAGUCGAGUUGUUUGGGAAUGCAGCUCUAAAUGGGAGGUAAAUUUCUUCUAAAGCUAAAUACCGGCCAGAGACCGAUAGCGCACAAGUAGAGUGAUCGAAAGAUGAAAAGCACUUUGGAAAGAGAGUUAAAAAGCACGUGAAAUUGUUGAAAGGGAAGCGCAUGCAACCAGACUUGUCGGCGGUGUUCCGCCGGUCUUCUGACCGGUCCAUUCGCCGCCGGCAGGCCAGCAUCAUCUGGGCGCGCCGGACAAAGGCGUGGGGAAUGUAGCUCCUCGGAGUGUUAUAGCCCUGCGCACAAUACGGCGCCGCCUGGGUGAGGUCCGCGCUUCGGCUAGGAUGCUGGCGUAAUGGUUGUCUGCGGCCCGUCUUGAAACACGGACCAAGGAGUCUAACAUCUAUGCGAGUGUUUGGGUGUCAAACCCUGACGCGUAAUGAAAGUGAACGGAGGUGGGAAGCGUGAGCUGCACCAUCGACCGAUCCUGAUGUCUUCGGAUGGAUUUGAGUAAGAGCAUAGCUGUUGGGACCCGAAAGAUGGUGAACUAUGCCUGGAUAGGGUGAAGCCAGAGGAAACUCUGGUGGA